GGUAUAUCUGCACUUUGAGGUUGUUGCACAUUUCAUUGCUAACUGAAGGGAGGGAAGCAUGCCUUUGCAUAUUGCCUCAUUGGUACCAACUAUCUUGUAGAGUUGCCAAAAUGAAGGGGGGGGGUGUUCUUGUGCACUUAAUAAUUGUGUAGAAAAGGGAAUUUUAGCAGGUGCUGCUUGUUGUCUGGUUGUAUGUCAAGUGAUGACUCCUGAAUUUGUCUUUUUUGCACAGCUAUGAAAAAGGCAGGAGCGCUCUCCAUUUUUCAGUCCGGCAACUCAUGGUUAUCUAAUCUAUCUGUUCAUCCAAAAAGGCAACCCUGCCCAGACUCUGGAAUUUCCUUUUCUGCAAGUUAUGUCUUGCUUCCUUUUCCCUCAUUUUCUAAUGAGUUACGAGUUGGGUUGAUACAGGGAAUGCCGUGGAUGUCGCGUACCUGGAUUUCAGUAAGUCCACGACAUGCGAGUAUGGAGAAGAACAAACCAUAGACCACCUAUUACAAUGCAGCCUGAGUCCUGCCACAUACACAAUGGAGGACUUUCUUAUAGCAAGCACACUCCAAGUGGCCAGUUACUGGUGAAAAGGCAUUUAGUAUAAUGCCAAGGUUUUUUUUUAACUUUGUAUUUUCAUUAUAUUACAACUUGUAUCCUCGGUUCACUUGUGACAUCUAUAUAUAUAAUAAAAGUGAAAUCGGAGUAUGUAUCAGCGUUUUGAUUGGCCUGGCGGAAUAUGUGCUCGUGUUUUG
rnacentral:lncRNA from 11 species